UACAGAGACUGCAAGCGUUAUUCGGAUUUACUGGGCGUAAAGGGUGCGCAGGCGGUUGUGUGUGUCAGAUGUGAAAUCUCGGGGCUUAACCUCGAAACUGCGUCUGAAACUACAUGACUAGAGCAUUGGAGAGGGUAGCGGAAUUCAUGGUGUAGCAGUGAAAUGCGUAGAUAUCAUGAGGAACACCAGAGGCGAAGGCGGCUACCUGGACAAUUGCUGACGCUCAGGCACGAAAGCGUGGGGAGCAAAAGGGAUUAGAUACCCCUGUAGUCCACGCCCUAAACGGUGCACACUAGGUCUUGGAGGAUUCGACCCCUUCAGGGCCCAAGCUAACGCGUUAAGUGUGCCGCCUGAGGACUACGGCCGCAAGGCUAAA
rnacentral:rRNA from 1 species